CAAACAUGGCCGGUAAGGGAGGAAAAGGGACCCCUUAGGAACGGCGAGUGAAGCGGCAAAAGCUCAAAAAAAAAUAAAUUUGAAAUGGUGUCCGAGUUGUAAUUUGGAGAGUACCACUUUGGGGCGGUUCUUGGCUAUGUUCCUUGGAACAGGACGUCACAAGGGUCGAAUAGGGUGUGGCGAGGGUGUCAGAGGAGUUAAAGGGUGCUUGAAGAGUCGAGAAGAGGGGAAUGCAUUGGGAAGUGGGUGGUAAAUUCCAUGUAAAUUCCAAUACAGGCGAGAGACCGAUAGCGAACAAGUACGAACAAGAACGAUGAAAAGAAGAUGAAAAAGAGAGUGAAAAAGUACGUGAAAAGUUCGAAAAGGAAGGGCAAGGGAUCGGCCAUGAUCUGUCCGGGCCUUUCCUGCCCCGGGCUCGGGGCUGUUGCAGCUCACUGGGCCAGCAUCGGCCAGCCUCCCGGAAAAAGGUUAGGGAAACCAGUGGACGCCUCGGGUUCAGGAAGUAGCCUAGGGGAAUGGGACCAGUCAGCCCGAGGGAUGAGCUAGAGUUCAAGGAUC
rnacentral:rRNA from 1 species